AUUGAACGCUGGCGGCAGGCCUAACACAUGCAAGUCGAGCGGUAACAGGACUAGCUUGCUAGUUGCUGACAAGCGGCGGACGGGUGCGUAACACGUAGGAAUCUACCCAGUAGCGGGGGAUAGCCCGGAGAAAUCCGGAUUAAUACCGCAUACGCCCUACGGGGGAAAGCAGGGGAUCUUCGGACCUUGCACUAUUGGAUGAGCCUGCGUCGGAUUAGCUUGUUGGUGAGGUAAAGGCUCACCAAGGCGACGAUCCGUAGCUGGUCUGAGAGGAUGAUCAGCCACACUGGGACUGAGACACGGCCCAGACUCCUACGGGAGGCAGCAGUGGGGAAUAUUGCACAAUGGGCGAAAGCCUGAUGCAGCCAUGCCGCGUGUGUGAAGAAGGCUCUAGGGUUGUAAAGCACUUUCAGCGAGGAGGAAAGGUUGAUGAUUAAUACUCAUUAGCUGUGACGUUACUCGCAGAAGAAGCACCGGCUAACUCCGUGCCAGCAGCCGCGGUAAUAUGGAGGGUGCAAGCGUUAAUCGGAAUUACUGGGCGUAAAGCGUGCGUAGGCGGCUUGCUAAGUUGGAUGUGAAAGCCCCGGGCUCAACCUGGGA
rnacentral:rRNA from 1 species